GCAGCAAUAAUGAAUGGAAACGCACUGUAGCCAAGGAAGUUUCGCUGCGUUCAAGUCACUGUUAAGGUUUAGACCCUGAGCCUAUACUUAUAAAAAAAACAACCGAAUUUCUGUGUGAAGAAUGGACUGGCCAGGCAAAACCGAGACUAUUCUUUGGAAUCGUAAACAAUUAUAUUGCGAGUGUUACUUUUUUUGAUAGUGCGUUUCGGGGGACAUAUUGGACAGUCUAUGAUAGGCUACUGUAGCCUGAUGUGAUUGUGUUACAUUUAUAUGAAAGUAAUGCGCUGUCAGCUUUUUUCCUUGUUUUCCACACAUGGAGGUAAUGCGUUGUUGAACAAUACUAUUUCCUUUGGAAUACCUUGAAAGAGUUGUAGGAUUUUUUUUCAACCAGUUGGAGGAACUCGACCAGUUGAGAAAUGGGGAAUAUUGAGAGUGUGGAUGGGCACUCGGAGAUGAAGCCUCACAUCAUGCCCCUGAAGGUCCCUAUGCCCGAUUCCACAGAGUUGGAGGAGAAGUUUGCUAUUGUUUUGAAUUCCAUGAAUCUACCUCCAGACAAAGCAAGACUUCUAAGACAGUAUGACAACGAGAAGAAGUGGGACCUUAUAUGUGACCAGGAGAGAUUUCAAGUAAAGAACCCGCCACACACAUACAUCCAGAAGCUACGCAGCUACCUAGAUCCUGGAGUCACCCGAAAGAAGUUCCGAAGGCGGGUCCAAGAAUCCACUAAAGUCUUGCGGGAGUUGGAGAUCUCUCUGCGGACCAACCACAUCGGGUGGGUCAGAGAGUUCCUCAACGAUGAGAACCGAGGUCUUGACAUCUUGGUGGAGUACCUCUCCUUUGCCCAGUGUGCUGUUAUGUUGAAUUUUGAGGGUCUGGAGGUGGGGGAGGACGGGCCACUGGAGAUGAGUAAGUCCUGGAGCAGGUCCAUCGAGGAUCUGCACCAGACGGGCAGCCAGCCCUUCUGCAACACCCUGGUGCGCUCGGCCCGCCAGUCCGUCCUGCGAUAUGGCUCUGUGACGAACACCAAAACCAUCAAGAACUCCCGUCUCGUCAGCCAGAAGGACGAUGUACACGUGUGCAUCAUGUGCCUGAGAGCCAUCAUGAACUACCAGUACGGCUUCAAUAUGGUCAUGUCCCAUCCGCAUGCUGUCAACGAGAUCGCUCUCAGCCUGAACAAUAAGAACUCGAGGACGAAAGCGCUGGUGUUGGAGCUGCUGGCCGCCGUCUGUCUGGUCCGAGGAGGCCACGAAAUCAUCCUCUCAGCGUUCGAUAACUUUAAAGAGGUGUGUAAGGAGAAGCAGCGAUUCGAGAGGCUGAUGGAUUACUUUCGCUCUGAGGAAGCAAACAUUGACUUCAUGGUGGCCUGCAUGCAGUUCAUCAACAUCAUGGUCCACUCGGUGGAGGACAUGAACUUCAGGGUCCACCUGCAGUACGAGUUCACUAAGCUGGGCCUGGACGACUACUUGGAGAAAUCAAAGCACACAGAGAGCGACAAGCUGUCGGUGCAGAUCCAGGCCUACCUUGACAACGUGUUCGACGUCGGCGGUCUACUGGAAGAUGCAGAAACUAAGAACGCAGCGCUGGAGAAGGUGGACGAGCUCGAGGAGCACCUGUCCCACGUGACGGAGAAGCUGCUGGACUUGGAGAAUGAGACCAUGAUGAAAGUAGCAGACCUGGAGAAGAUUGUCCUUCAAAAGGAUAAGGAACUACACGUGAUGCGGGAAACCUCUGAGUCGACCAGCACCCAGGUGAGCACCCUGAGGAGGAUGAUCAAGGAGAAGGACGCGGCCUACCAGAGACACUUCAGCAUCGAGAAGCGGCUGAUGGAGCUGGAGCAACAGGGCACCAUCCGCCUGCACAAGAAACCCGACGGCGACAUCGCCAUCGAGCCGCUAGCCGGCGGCGGAGGCGGAGUCCCGGGCGGCGCCGGUAUCCCUGGCGACCGUGGCCUCGGGUUCCCGCUGGGCGGCGGCGGACAGUCACUGCUGCUGACGGAGCCUCUUGUCGAGCGAACGGCGACAGAGGGCGUCGACCCCAGUUUACCCCCCGCCAGCGAGGCUCCGCCCCCGCCGCCUCCUCCACCCCCGCCGCCUCCACCACUUCCCUCGGCCGCAGGCAUCCCGUGUGCACCAGGGCCGCCCCCACCUCCACCUCUGCCGGACGGUUCUCGCUCCUUCCCCAUACUGAGUUUGGGCCUGUCAGCAGCGAUCAGAAUCAAGAAGCCAAUCAAAACGAAGUUCCGCUUGCCAAUCUUCAACUGGACGGCGCUCAAGCCCAAUCAGAUCAACGGCACCGUCUUCAACGAGAUUGACGACGAGCGUGUCCUGGAGGAGUUGGACCUAGAGAGGUUUGAGGAGCUGUUCAAGACCAGAGCCCAGGUGGCUACGGUGGAUCUGUCCAGCACUACAAACAAGGUGGCCAACAAGGCUGUGAACAAAAUCACCCUGCUGGAUGCCAAUCGCUCUAAGAACCUGGCCAUCACACUGAGAAAGGCCAACAAGAAACCUGAGGAGAUCUGCAAAGCCAUAGAGAAGUUCGACCUGAAGGCCCUGCCCGUGGACUUCGUGGAGUGUCUGAUGCGCUUCCUGCCCACGGAGGCCGAGGUGAAGGUGCUGCGGCAGUACGAGCGCGAGCGGCGCCCGCUGGACCAGCUGGCGGAGGAGGACCGCUUCAUGAUGCUCUUCAGUAAGAUCGAGAGGCUCACGCAGCGCAUGAACAUCAUCACCUUCGUGGGGAACUUCUCCGACAGCAUCACCAUGCUGACGCCGCAGCUCAACGCCGUGAUCGCCGCCUCCGGCUCCGUCAAGUCCUCGUCCAAGUUGAGGAGGAUGCUUGAGAUCAUCCUAGCCCUGGGUAACUACAUGAACAGCAGCAAAAGAGGCUCAGUGUAUGGCUUUAAACUGCAGAGUCUGGAUCUGCUGUUGGACACCAAGUCGACAGACAGGAAGAUGACCCUGCUCCACUACAUCGCGCUCAUCGUCAAGGAGAAGUACUCGGACCUGGCAAACUUCUACAGCGAGCUGCACUAUGUGGACAAGGCAGCAGCAGUGUCCCUGGAGAACGUGCUGCUGGACGUGCGGGAGCUGGGCAAGGGCAUGGACCUGAUCAAGAGGGAGUGCAGCCGGCACGACCACCCGGUGCUCAAGACCUUCCUGCACUCCAGCGACGCCCUGCUGGACAAGCUGCAGAAGGACGCCAAGGCGUCGGAGGAGGCCUUCAACAAUGUGGUGAACUUCUUUGGCGAGAGCUCAAAGACGACUCCCCCGUCUGUGUUCUUCCCCGUGUUCGUGAGGUUCAUCAAAGCUUACAAGGAUGCAGUGGAGGAAAACCAGCAGAGGAAAAAGCAGGAGGAAGCCUUGAGAGAGAAGUUACUGGCGCAGGAGGCUAAACAGCACGACCCCAAGGUCCAGGCCCACAAGAAGAAGCAGCAGCAGCAGGAGCUGAUCGCAGAGCUGAGGAAGCGGCAGGCUAAAGAGCACCGGCCCGUGUACGAGGGCAAGGACGGGACCAUAGAGGACAUCAUCACAGUGUUGAAGAGCGUGCCCUUCACAGCGCGCACCGCUAAGCGGGGCUCGCGGUUCUUCUGUGAAGCCAACCUCUGCGAAGACGGCAACUGCUAGCCCUCCUCCCAACCCUACCCCCACACACACUAAUGCCAAGGUUGUCUGCAGAUCUCAGAAACCAGCCGUUCCUGAGAGCCGACGCCUUGCUGCGGAGCGGCUGGAAGAGGCCUUAAACCACCCGUGUGUCCCCCAACACUUACAACCCCCGCCUCCCCAGACCACCUCCCCUGUGCCCUGUGUCCUGGUGGGGGUCCCCGUACCCCGGACCACCUCCCCUGUGCCCUGUGUCCUGGUGGGGGUCCCCGUACCCCAGACCACCUCCCCUGUGCCCUGUGUCCUGGUGGGGGUCCCCGUACCCCAGACCACCUCCCCUGUGCCCUGUGUCCUGGUGGGGGUCCCCGUACCCCGGACCACCUCCCCUGUGCCCUGUGUCCUGGUGGGGGUCCCCGUACCCCAGACCACCUCCCCUGUCCCCUGUGUCCUGGUGGGGGUCCCCGUACCCCGGACCAUCUCCCCUGUGCCCUGUGUCCUGGUGGGGGUCCCCGUACCCCGGACCACCUCCCCUGUGCCCUGUGCCCUGGUGGGGGUCCCCGUACCCCAGACCAAUACCCUGCCCUGAACCCCACGCCUGAGGCAACAGAGAGACUGGAAGUGAUGAGCGGGGGCAUCAAACCCAUGACAUAGUGCCGUCUGGGUAUUUAUUUAUUUAUGGAGAUACUUCUGCAGGAAUAAUUACAGCGACUGCAUUGGGCCGACUUUCCUUUCUCACUCCAAAGAUAGACUCUAACAUCGCCAUGGGCUCAGUUAGACGGACUGCACAAGAUCCUGCUGGACCUUGGCACUGGGAUCAAGGCAGUGUAUGAAACCCUAAUUAAAGAGGGUUACAUACACUAUUUAAAGAGGGCUUCAUGCAGGUGUGGUCAGUCUGGACUCCGUUGGCCAAAGCAGGAAGGACAAUGCUUCUACCCACAAGUGCCUGCAAAACAUUCCUAAAGCCAUAACGUCGGGCCGGGCAUGAACCCGGCUUGCUGACACAUAUGCUAACUCUUAAAGGAGAACUCUUGCUCUGACGAGGCUGGAUCUUUCUUUCCUCUGAAUAUCCAAGAAGAUCACGAGUAACAGAGAACGUGGAACGACUUUUGGAAGGACUCGAGAUUGAGCACACCGUCGACAACAGAACAGAGACUUGGAGUUGUUUGCAUUCCUAGUUUCAAUAUUGUACGCUUCCAUCGGUCCUUUGGACUGCUAGCCAAACCAAACAUGCUUUCAUGUCUUACUUUUGUCAAAAGUGCCUUUCGUAACGACAGUAUUAUUUUCAUUAAGUCAGCCAUAACGUGUAUCUUUGAAGUCUUAAAUGCAAUUUCCUUUUUACUAUGGCAUGAACACUAAAAAUAUAAUCAACAUACAAAGGUUAAAAAUAUGAAAGUUAAAUGGAGGAAAGGUCAGGGGAAAGAGCUUUUUAAUUUGCCUCUUUGCAAUCAAUUUGGUGUUCUGUUUUGAGGGAAGAUGUUAAAAACUGUCAUGUAUCUGAACUUUAUAAAUAUAUGUAUAUAUAUAUUUGACAACACUUUCUGUCAAACUUAGGAAGUGACACAAGAUUGAAGAUUAUUUGAUAUAGACUGCUGUUUUAUAAGUCAGAGGUGGAUAAAUUGUAAAUGCAGUGGAUGAAGGAUAUUUCUAUUAUAAUCAUGCAGGUUGGGAUGUCUUUGUGCUUCUAUUGUACAUCAGAUCAAUUCCCUCUUAAAAGCAUCGAGUAGCAAAAUGAUUGUGCACUUUGAGAAUUAUUUUUGUGUUCUAGUAUGGAACUGUCAAUAGAGCGACCAAAUGUACACUACUCCGUUUGCCUUAACCUUGUUUUAGACAUUAUUUGAAGUGGAAAUGUCCUUGGCCAAAUAGAUGCAAAUCAAUGAAUGAAGAAAAAAGCGACUUUCUUUGAAAUUGAAAUAAAGUGAAAUGCUUGCAUUUCUCUUUUCCUUAACAAUCAGUCAAUCUAUACGAGAACUUUAAAAAAUAUAUCUUUCUGAUGGACAUAUAAAAUAAAAAAUAUAUAAAGCAGAAGGUGGGACAUUCAAACAUUUCUACAAAUUCACAUUUUAUUUCCGAAAUUUGUGGUUAUGAGUUAUAUAUUCAAUGGUAAUUCACUGAUGUUUUGCUCCAGCCAUGAUGACAGAAGCCAUUCUAUUUCAAAUGAAGGUCAGAGUCACCAUACAUUUCUACUAUAAAAAUCCAUUUAAUUUCUUAUAUCAAAAAAAUCAAAAUUAACCAAAAUUAAAACAAACAACUAAACCGAAAAACAUCCAUGUGAGUUCUGCAAUCCGAGAGACAUUCUCAAAAUCAAGAAAACCAAAAACUAAAAUGAUUUUUCUAAUAAGCAGUGAAAUAAAGAACGUAGCAUGGCGGGACUUUUAAAAGCACAUUUUGUGAAUACUGUUAAGAAGUGGAAGGGUGGUGCCAAGGGCGUGCGGUGUGAGGAAGCUGUGGAAGAUUGAAUAAGAGGUGCAGAGACGGAGCAAUCCAAACCGCGACAGGUUCAAAGAGGAGGGCAGAUGGCUAGCGAUAGCAUUAGCAGCAGCAAGGCAAAGGAAUCAACAAAGGAAUGCUUAUCAGGAGGGACAUUAGCCCCCCCUACCCCCCCCCCCCCCCCCGUUAGGAAUGCACUUAACAAUGAGCACUAACCCAAAUUACAUGAACACCCCCCUCCCCAAAACAAACAAACAAACAAA